UUGAACGCUGGCGGCAGGCCUAACACAUGCAAGUCGAAUGGUAACAGGAAACAGCUUGCUGUUUCGCUGACGAGUGGCGGACGGGUGAGUAAUGUCUGGGAAACUGCCUGAUGGAGGGGGAUAACUACUGGAAACGGUAGCUAAUACCGCAUAACGUCGCAAGACCAAAGAGGGGGACCUUCGGGCCUCUUGCCAUCAGAUGUGCCCAGAUGGGAUUAGCUAGUAGGUGGGGUAACGGCUCACCUAGGCGACGAUCCCUAGCUGGUCUGAGAGGAUGACCAGCCACACUGGAACUGAGACACGGUCCAGACCCCUACGGGAGGCAGCAGUGGGGAAUAUUGCACAAUGGGCGCAAGCCUGAUGCAGCCAUGCCGCGUGUAUGAAGAAGGCCUUCGGGUUGUAAAGUACUUUCAGCGGGGAGGAAGGGAGCAAAGUUAAUACCUUUGCGCAUUGACGUUACCCGAAGAAGAAGCACCGGCUAACUACGUG
rnacentral:rRNA from 1 species